UUGUGUCCUGGGAGCAGUAGGCCGUACCAGGUAGCCUAGAAUGCAUCUGCAUCGUUAGGCAAUGCAUGAUUGUACUUUGAACCUGGCCCGGUGCUCAGAGCUGUGCAGGAAUUGGAAAGUUUCAGAAUAUUUUUGGACCGCAGUUGACUGCAGGUAGCAGAAACCUAGGAAAACGAAACUGCCAAUGGGGGACCACUGUAUUCCUAUUAUCAUGCCUGUUUUGCACAGGGAGAAACCGAGGCUCCCAGAGGUUAAAAAGCUGCCCAAGAUCACACAGGUAAGCAAGUGGCUGAGUCAGGGCUCCGACCCGGGCCAUGAAGCCCCAUCUCAGCUGCUGUGGAUAUUGCCUGCUGCAAGCUCACUGUGUCAGCACCCACCAAAGAUAUACGCCGUGGAAGGGCCCAGUGAGAAAGCAGUGACCAUGUUUUGGAUUUCUCUCCAGUUCAAAUUGACCUGGACAUCUUAUAUUUUAUCUGCUCUGUCUCUGGCCACGCUGCUGGGCAGGCUUGACCACACACAUCUGCGGAACUCUGGGUCUCCGCCGUACGAGUGGCAUAGACGCCAUCCUCAAUGCAG
rnacentral:lncRNA from 1 species